AGCAGCCGCGGUAAUUCCAGCUCCAAUAGCGUAUAUUAAAGUUGUUGCAGUUAAAAAGCUCGUAGUUGAACUUCGGGAUCAAUGGAUCGGUCAUGCCGUUGGUGUGUACUGGUCCUAUUGGUUCUCACCUUCUAAGGAACCUUAAUGUCAUUAAUUUGAUGUUUUGGGGAAUUAGGACUGUUACCUUGAAAAAUUAGAGUGUUUAAAGCAGGCUAACGCUUGAAUACAUUAGCAUGGAAUAAUGAAAUAGGACAUCGCAUUCUAUUUUGUUGGUUUCUAGGAUCGCCGUAAUGAUUAAUAGGGAUAGUUGGGGGCAUUAGUAUUCAAUUGUCAGAGGUGAAAUUCUUGGAUUUAUUGAAGACUAACUACUGCGAAAGCAUUUGCCAAGGAUGUUUUCAUUAAUCAAGAACGAAAGUUAGGGGAUCGAAGACGAUCAGAUACCGUCGUAGU
rnacentral:rRNA from 1 species